GCUGGCGGCGUGCCUAAUACAUGCAAGUCGAGCGAAUGGAUUGAGAGCUUGCUCUUAUGAAGUUAGCGGCGGACGGGUGAGUAACACGUGGGUAACCUGCCCAUAAGACUGGGAUAACUCCGGGAAACCGGGGCUAAUACCGGAUAAUAUUUUGAACUGCAUGGUUCGAAAUUGAAAGGCGGCUUCGGCUGUCACUUAUGGAUGGACCCGCGUCGCAUUAGCUAGUUGGUGAGGUAACGGCUCACCAAGGCAACGAUGCGUAGCCGACCUGAGAGGGUGAUCGGCCACACUGGGACUGAGACACGGCCCAGACUCCUACGGGAGGCAGCAGUAGGGAAUCUUCCGCAAUGGACGAAAGUCUGACGGAGCAACGCCGCGUGAGUGAUGAAAGCUUUCGGGUCGUAAAACUCUGUUGUUAGGGAAGAACAAGUGCUAGUUGAAUAAGCUGGCACCUUGACGGUACCUAACCAGAAAGCCACGGCUAACUACGUGCCAGCAGCCGCGGUAAUACGUAGGUGGCAAGCGUUAUCCGGAAUUAUUGGGCGUAAAGCGCGCGCAGGUGGUUUCUUAAGUCUGAUGUGAAAGCCCACGGCUCAACCGUGGAGGGUCAUUGGAAACUGGGAGACUUGAGUGCAAAAGAGGAAAGUGGAAUUCCGUGUGU
rnacentral:rRNA from 1 species